GAUGAACGCUGGCGGCGUGCUUAACACAUGCAAGUCGAACGGAAAGGCUCCUGCUUGCAGGGGUACUCGAGUGGCGAACGGGUGAGUAACACGUGGGUGAUCUGCCCUGCACUUCGGGAUAAGCCUGGGAAACUGGGUCUAAUACCGGAUAGGACGAUGGUUUGGAUGCCAUUGUGGAAAGUUUUUCGGUGUGGGAUGAGCUCGCGGCCUAUCAGCUUGUUGGUGGGGUAAUGGCCUACCAAGGCGUCGACGGGUAGCCGGCCUGAGAGGGUGUACGGCCACAUUGGGACUGAGAUACGGCCCAGACUCCUACGGGAGGCAGCAGUGGGGAAUAUUGCACAAUGGGCGCAAGCCUGAUGCAGCGACGCCGCGUGGGGGAUGACGGCCUUCGGGUUGUGAACUCCUUUCGCUAGGGACGAAGCGCAAGUGACGGUACCUGGAGAAGAAGCACCGGCUAACUACGUG
rnacentral:rRNA from 1 species